GAAUGUCUUAGCAACACGCAUUCCCUCCCAGACAGCCAGAGUGGGCCUUCACAAGAAUGAGGAAGAAGAAUAAAUGUUAAGUGUCCUACAUUGCUUCACGA